AUUCCAGCUCCGAUAGCGUAUAUUAAAGUUGUUGCAGUUAAAAAGCUCGUAGUUGGAUUUCUGUUUCUGGGAUCUGGUCCGCCUCACGGUGAGCACUGGAUAACUGGGGACAUCCUCUCGAAGGCGGCGGGUGCACUUGAUUGUGUGUUUGUUGAAUUCGGGACCUUUACUUUGAAAAAAUUAGAGUGUUCAAAGCAGGCGUCGGCUUGAAUACAUUAGCAUGGAAUAAUGGAAUAGGACUUUGGUUCUAUUUUGUUGGUUUCUAGGACCGAAGUAAUGAUUAAUAGGGACAGUUGGGGGCAUUAGUAUUUAAUUGUCAGAGGUGAAAUUCUUGGAUUUAUGAAAGACUAACUACUGCGAAAGCAUUUGCCAAGGAUGUUUUCAUUA
rnacentral:rRNA from 1 species